CAUGGAUCUGCUCAUGCUCUCAGCGGGAAUACUGGAUGUUCUCGAAGCUUUGCCAUACACACGUGCUACUUUUGGUACUUGUGUGGGCUCCAGUUUGUGUCAAUGCAAUUUGCAUCUAUCAGCGGAUUAUGGCGAUCAGGCUUGGUUAUUGGCCUACAGGAACCAGGUGCUAUAAUGCACCAAUGCUGCUUUCUGAUGAUGACGGCAAUGCCAAACGCACCAUUACCUGAGGAUCGCCUUCAAGAGCAUGCUGAAGAAUCACAACAAAAACUCCCCCAGUGAUAGUGCCACUCCAUGAGACAUCCGUAUCAAACUGAAAUUCAAUUUCCUCGCAUUAGCCAAAGCAU